rnacentral:sRNA from 1 species
GUUUUAAUCUAGCAUUGAACCAGCCUAAAAACAACUUUAACUGUAAAUGCUAAAGUUGUUUUGAUGCUGAGAUACCAUGAAUAUAUGACUGAUAAGUAGUAAUGUGCUAAGAUCGGCACUGGGAAGCAACUCUCCCUGCCUGCUUAACAUAAGCUUUCACUGUCAAAUAAGUGAGAAAAUGAAUAUUAGAGUUGAUACUAUGGACUUCUAUUUUUCUAUUCAGAGAGAAGAUCCAUUAGACUUAUGUAUGCAUGUCUGUGUGUGUGUGUGUGCGCGCGCGUGUGCGUGUGUGUGAUCUGAGGUUUACAUUCUUUUAAAGGAUUUUAUCUUUCCCUUUGUAGAGUCAGCGUGGGAGAAAUUGUAACGAGAAACCAACAAAUGUCAGGAAAAGAAAAUUCAUUAACAGAGAUCUGGCUCAUGAUUCAGAAGAACUCUUUCAAGAUCUAAGUCAAUUACAAGAAACAUGGCUUGCAGAAGCUCAGGUACCUGACAAUGAUGAGCAGUUUGUACCAGACUAUCAGGCUGAAAGUUUGGCUUUUCAUGGCCUACCACUGAAAAUCAAGAAAGAACCCCAUAGUCCAUGUUCAGAAAUCGGCUCUGCCUGCAGUCAAGAACAGCCCUUUAAAUUCAGCUAUGGAGAAAAGUGCCUGUACAAUGUCAGUGCCUAUGAUCAGAAGCCACAAGUGGGAAUGAGGCCCUCCAACCCCCCCACACCAUCCAGCACGCCAGUGUCCCCACUGCAUCAUGCAUCUCCAAACUCAACUCAUACACCGAAACCUGACCGGGCCUUCCCAGCUCACCUCCCUCCAUCGCAGUCCAUACCAGAUAGCAGCUACCCCAUGGACCA